rnacentral:rRNA from 1 species
ACGGAGGGUGCAAGCGUUAAUCGGAAUUACUGGGCGUAAAGCGCACGCAGGCGGUUUGUUAAGUCAGAUGUGAAAUCCCCGGGCUCAACCUGGGAACUGCAUCUGAUACUGGCAAGCUUGAGUCUCGUAGAGGGGGGUAGAAUUCCAGGUGUGGCGGCGAAAUGCGUAGGGAUCUGGCGGAAGGGCGGUGGCGAAGGCGGACCCCAGGACGAAGACCGAGGCUCCGGUGCGAAAGCGUGGGCAACAAACAG